GCAAAAGAUGGGAGGAUCAAAGUCUGGUGUACAAGGAUUGGUCAAUGCUUGCGUUGUAUUGAAUGUGCACAUUCUCAGGGAGUCACGAGUCUUGCUUUCUCUUGUGAUGGAAGCCAGCUGCUAAGUGCAUCAUUUGACAACACACCCAGGUUCGAUUAAAUUAAUGGACUUUUUUAUUCUGUGUAUAGCAAGUUAAUUAAGACUCUGCUUACCACUAUAAUCAGUUGACACCUUUUAAUUAACACUAUUAUCUUUAUCUCUAUUUUACUUGUGUGGUCAUUGAAUUUCUAACUUUAGUCAUUCCCUUAUCCAUACAACAGUUAUUUUCUUGCUAUUAAUUUUUUGUGAAUGAUGCCAUCUUCACUAGUGAGCCAUCUUCACUAGUGAUGGAACUCGUGUUGUUACUGGUUCCAGUGAUUGCACAGUCAAAGUAGGUUUGGGAUAUGAAGAGUACUGACUGUAUACAUACAUUCAGGACACCACCACCAUUGAGGGUAUUUUUUCUCAAUCCAAUCUGCAUGAUCAUGAUUGAGCUGCAUUGUCUCAUGGGGCUUACCUGGGAUAGAAUACAUCCAUGCUAUAUGUCUUGCUUUUGCCUUCUACAGCACAUAGCUGAUUGUUGCUUGUUGUGUGGAUUGUAAGGGAGGUGAUGCUUCUGUGAACUCUGUUCAUCUUUUCCCAAAAAACACUGAUCAUAUUGUUGUAUGUAACAUGACAUCAUCGGUAUGCAUUAUGACACUUCAUGGACAGGUAGUUUCUCUCAACUCCAGCUGAUGCUAAUAGUUUUUCACUUAUUUGUUACUCCAUGAUUGGUUUUGGGGUUGGGACCAAAUUUUAGAUAGUGUACCAACUACUUUUUUGACAGCAAACCAUUGACAUUUCUCUAGCAUUUACUAGUCUUAGACCACCACAAAAGCAAACAUAAACAGAUUACCAUUCUAUAGAUAGAUUACAAUUCUAUGUUUUACUGGUUAAGGUACUUUUUUUGUUCACUGAAACUCUUUCAGGGUGCAUAAGUAGAGGAGUUUUGAUAAUUCAUUAUCAAUAACAUCUUGCUUUGAGUGACUGUUAUGCAGGUUGUGAAGAGCUUUUCUUCAGGUAAAAGAGGUGGAGAUUUUGCUGCAGCCUGUGUAUCACCAAAAGGGGAAUGGAUCUAUUGUGUUGGUGAAGACAGGCAUUCCUUCAUCCACCUGAUUCUGAUAUAUAAUUUUCAAUUUUGUGUUUUAUUUAUUUUCUCAUAAAAUAAGAAUUCUAUAAAAAAAGAAGAGAAAGAUGAAACGAAAAUGUCAUUUAUUGCUGGGACAAGUUGAGAGAUGGGUGUUUGAGACGGCUUAAUUUUUUUAAUAGCUGUCAUCAAAAUUGCCUGCAGGAAUAUUUACUGCUUCAGCUUCCAAUCCUCUGCAAACUAGAGCAUCUAAUGAUGGUUCACGAGAAGGAUGUAAUAGGUGUGACCCAUCAUCCUCAUAGAAAUCUUCUUGCUACCUACAGUGAAGGUUGCACAAUGAAAUUAUGGAAGCCU